rnacentral:rRNA from 1 species
UGAGGAAUAUUGGGCAAUGCCCGCAAGGGUGACCCAGCAACGCCGCGUGGAGGAUGAAUGUCGUAAGAUUGUAAACUCCUGUUAGAGGGGAAGAAUAGUACCGGUUGGACCGGUAUAUGACUGUACCCUCAGAGAAAGCCCCGGCUAACUACGCGCCAGCAGCCGCGGUAAUACGUAGGGGGCAAGCGUUGUCCGGAUUUACUGGGUGUAAAGGGCGCGCAGGCGGGAUAAAAAGUCAGUGGUGAAAUCCUACAGCUUAACUGUAGAACUGCCUUUGAUACUUUUAGUCUUGAGUUCGGGAGAGAGAGACGGAAUUCCAGGUGUAGUGGUGAAAUACGUAGAUAUCUGGAAGAACACCAGUUGCGAAGGCGGUCUCUUGGUCCGACACUGACGCUGAGGCGCGAAAGCGUGGGGAGCAAACA